ACUUAAAUUGAAGAGUUUGAUCAUGGCUCAGAUUGAACGCUGGCGGCAGGCCUAACACAUGCAAGUCGAGCGGUAGCACAGAGAGCUUGCUCUCGGGUGACGAGCGGCGGACGGGUGAGUAAUGUCUGGGAAACUGCCUGAUGGAGGGGGAUAACUACUGGAAACGGUAGCUAAUACCGCAUAACGUCGCAAGACCAAAGUGGGGGACCUUCGGGCCUCAUGCCAUCAGAUGUGCCCAGAUGGGAUUAGCUAGUAGGUGGGGUAACGGCUCACCUAGGCGACGAUCCCUAGCUGGUCUGAGAGGAUGACCAGCCACACUGGAACUGAGACACGGUCCAGACUCCUACGGGAGGCAGCAGUGGGGAAUAUUGCACAAUGGGCGCAAGCCUGAUGCAGCCAUGCCGCGUGUGUGAAGAAGGCCUUCGGGUUGUAAAGCACUUUCAGCGGGGAGGAAGGCGAUAAGGUUAAUAACCUUGUCGAUUGACGUUACCCGCAGAAGAAGCACCGGCUAACUCCGUGCCAGCAGCCGCGGUAAUACGGAGGGUGCAAGCGUUAAUCGGAAUUACUGGGCGUAAAGCGCACGCAGGCGGUCUGUCAAGUCGGAUGUGAAAUCCCCGGGCUCAACCUGGGAACUGCAUUCGAAACUGGCAGGCUAGAGUCUUGUAGAGGGGGGUAGAAUUCCAGGUGUAGCGGUGAAAUGCGUAGAGAUCUGGAGGAAUACCGGUGGCGAAGGCGGCCCCCUGGACAAAGACUGACGCUCAGGUGCGAAAGCGUGGGGAGCAAACAGGAUUAGAUACCCUGGUAGUCCACGCCGUAAACGAUGUCGAUUUGGAGGUUGUGCCCUUGAGGCGUGGCUUCCGGAGCUAACGCGUUAAAUCGACCGCCUGGGGAGUACGGCCGCAAGGUUAAAACUCAAAUGAAUUGACGGGGGCCCGCACAAGCGGUGGAGCAUGUGGUUUAAUUCGAUGCAACGCGAAGAACCUUACCUGGUCUUGACAUCCACAGAACUUAGCAGAGAUGCUUUGGUGCCUUCGGGAACUGUGAGACAGGUGCUGCAUGGCUGUCGUCAGCUCGUGUUGUGAAAUGUUGGGUUAAGUCCCGCAACGAGCGCAACCCUUAUCCUUUGUUGCCAGCGGUUAGGCCGGGAACUCAAAGGAGACUGCCAGUGAUAAACUGGAGGAAGGUGGGGAUGACGUCAAGUCAUCAUGGCCCUUACGACCAGGGCUACACACGUGCUACAAUGGCAUAUACAAAGAGAAGCGACCUCGCGAGAGCAAGCGGACCUCAUAAAGUAUGUCGUAGUCCGGAUUGGAGUCUGCAACUCGACUCCAUGAAGUCGGAAUCGCUAGUAAUCGUAGAUCAGAAUGCUACGGUGAAUACGUUCCCGGGCCUUGUACACACCGCCCGUCACACCAUGGGAGUGGGUUGCAAAAGAAGUAGGUAGCUUAACCUUCGGGAGGGCGCUUACCACUUUGUGAUUCAUGACUGGGGUGAAGUCGUAACAAGGUAACCGUAGGGGAACCUGCGGUUGGAUCACCUCCUUACCUUAAAGAA
rnacentral:rRNA from 3 species